UCCAUGUUUAAAUUUUAUAUCUCAAAAUAAAAAUUAUCUGCAAAAUAACACUUAUAAUAGGUAUAUAAAACAUAAAUCAAUGCAUAGAUGGUCUGGACCCGGAGCCAUUCUGUAAAACUGAAAAUAUGAGAACUGAAAUCAACCUGGAUCCUCCAAGAUUAUGUGAAUGGUUUAAAACGUGGCCAUCUGACCAUAGCACUACUGUAUACUUAAUGAAUAAUAAUGUAAAUAUGUUUUUAGCUUUUAUAUAUAUGGGAAAAGUGAUUCGCUUUACAGCAAAAUUUGCUAAAAAUUUUUAUGUUCCAAAGGCAAAAUUUGCAACUGCUGUAAUAAGAAGGUAUGCCUGUGUAUACAGAGUGAAUUGUAAUGAAAAGUCACAGUUUUGGGAAUUGAUAAUAGAGGUCUGUCUGAAUUAAAAAUAAAAAAAAA
rnacentral:lncRNA from 1 species